rnacentral:lncRNA from 1 species
CCAGCGCUGGGCCAGUGCAGGCCGAGCCCUGCGUCCCUGCCUCGCUGGGUGGGGGUCCGGGGCGCGGCUGUCCACAGGGCCGCCUCCUCCUGCGGCCCGCGGGGAAGGGGCGCAUCCCACCCCGCUCUGCAGGCCGCCCUUCUGCCAGCUGGGAGGCGAGGGCACACGUCCUAAGGCUGCCCAAGGGGGAGAGGAAUCGCGCCGGUAGGAGAGCGCACGGGAACCAGGAACGCAAGGCGGGCACAGGGGAGCCGAAGGAGCCAGACAGGGCCCGGCCACGCGCCCUCCUCGCUCGGCUGCGCUCCGUGACGGGAACCCAGGCUCCCACGCACGGGGAAUGCCUAGAACGGAGCUAGAAUGGAGGUGGGAGCUGGAGUCAUUUUGCGGGCCACAGGACUGCUCAUUUCGUGGGCAGGACGUGACAUUCUUGUCCCUCCUUUCUGAAAAACUUUUCUCAGGCGCCUGAACUUGGCAUGGGGACCGGCCUCGAAAAGCCGGCGGGUAGCACGGCCGCGGUAUCCAACCCUUCGCCCUCCUUCCCACCGGCCCUCCGCGUCCCUCGGCCCGCCCCCCGGGUCGGGGACGCGCGCGGAAAGGCCGCUCGCGCGCUCGAGCCGUGCCUUAUAUCGGCUGAGGGAGGCGCCUGCGCACGGCCCCGCGCGGCGGCGCGGCCUUUGAAGUCGCGGCGGCUGCCGCUUUCAUCCUUUCUUUUUUCCCUCGCAGGCCCCUUUGUGUGACUAAAUUUGGCAAGAAUAUGGAUCUGAGCCAGUCUUUCCACGUGUGCUCCCAGCUCCCAGCUGAGAAGGCCAAGGGUUCUCUUCCGGAUGCAGCCUUUUUGAAAUUUAUUCUUGGCCAAAAGAGGAAGAUAGUUCAAGGAUUCUAUCUUGCUUUUGGGGGGCAAUGGAGAAACCCUGAAAACACUUAAGGAAAACCUGAGGCCUUCUAUAAGAAAAUAAACUCCCUGAAAGGGGAGGCAGGGCCAAGGAAUUUACUUAUUUUUAUAAAUCUCUUUCCUGGGUGGAUAUGGUAAUGGAUGUGUUUCUUGAAUUGUGGUAAAUGUACCUCAUAAAAUGGAUGGACUGGGGCUAUAUUCUCAGGCUUCCUGGGCUCUGUUGGCAUUGGGCAAGCACGUAAUGCCUGGUUUGAGGCUAGAAGCCAAAGCCACAACCUUCUUGCAGUACCAACUGAGCCAUAGGGAGAUUAAUGCAGAACAAGGUCGUUAGUCUCAUUGUUUAUCCAGUUACUAGCCGCAUAGAUUUUGUGUAAAUUUCAGCUACAGUGGUUGCAGCCUGCCUUUGAUGUGUGUAAUCUGUACAUUUUAGUGCUCCAGGAAAGUACCUGAUUGACAAGAUCUACAUCCAAUGCCCAGAAAACACAUCCUACACAGGCACAGUGAAGCGUGGAGUUGAAGAAUUUUCCAGUGAGUUCCAUCAAAGUAAAUAAACCAACCUAGAGCAUCAGGAUUGAGCCUCCUUUUUCUCAUGACAUGACUUUUGAGUGUCCUUGGGAAUGGUUUGUAUUUGUUUUCAUUUGAAACUGGGUAACUGCUUUAAAUCCUUAUUUACCUCUCAGAGGAAGAACUUGGCCUGUAUGACAUUUGACCUUGAGGAUGCUUUCUGUUUUAAAGCACUUCUGUCCAUAAAAACAGACUCCUUGAGUGAGGUUACCUGUACUCAUAUAUACAUUUAUCCAAGACACAGCCAAUUUCUAGUUCCUUCCUUAGCUUUGUCUUGCUUGUAUGGCUACGCUUAAACUCAGAAUUAACAACGAUGGGAGUGAAUUCAGAUGGUAGAGACAGCCAGUGCAAAUAGUUUAGGCUACAAAAUUGUCAUCUGGCUCCACCAAACACUUUUCUUUGGCCAAAAUAAAGCUAAUUUGCCUCAUCUGAAUUUGACUUAAAGGUCCUGCAGUCCCGCUCUGCCAAUUAACAGAUCUCAAGUCCACUUCCCUUAGGUUAAAUUGGCAGAAAGCAAAGGACAGAGAUAAACUACUAUCCUAUGAGGUUAGACGGUAAUUUUUGACUGCCAGUUCUGAUAACCCCAGACUCCCAAAUAUAUUUUGAGAUUCAUUUGAAUUACCGAGAUAUUUGAUUUUUGCAGUUCAAAUUACUAGGAUAAUUUUUUACAUUGUUUUGCUUUGUAUCUCACAGUGGCUGAGUAAGACAGACCUUGUUGAAGCUCUAACUCUCUCACUGUUAGCCCUCCCUGUCCUGCACCUUUGCAGUUGCCUCCUAAUGAGUCUCUGGCUUUCAUUCUUUUUUUUUUCCGAGACAGUCUCCCACUAUCGCCCAGGCUGGAGUGCAGUGGUGUGAACUCGGCUCCCAGGUUCAAGUGAUUCUCGUGCCUCAGCCUCCCAAGUAGUUGGAACUACAGGUGUGCACCACCACAGUUGGCUUUUUGUAUUUUUAGUAGAGACAGGGUUUUGCUGUGUUGGCCAGGCUGGUCUUGAACUCCUGACCUCAAGCAAUCCACCCACCUUGACCUCUCAAAGUGCUCUGGCAUCCGUUCUUGCUGGGUUCCAUGCAUGCCCCACAAUAGUCCAUGCCUCAUAGAGCAGCCAAAGUCAUCCUUUAACAUUUCCUACUUGUGGCUUCCAAGUCCCUAUGUGAGCUGUUACCUGGCUUCCUCUUGCUCACUGCUCUCUAGCACCACUGGCUCUCCAGCUGUUCCUUCAGAGUGCAAAGCACAUGCACGCACGUGUACACACACACACACACACACACACAUGCACACACACACACACACACUAUACACCUCAGUCCUUGUUGCCUCUGCCCAGAAGCUCCUGGCCAGGUAGAUGUUCACAGGGCUCACUCCCUGACUUCAUUCAGGUUCUGCUCAGAUAGUCCCUCCUUAGAGCUUGUUAUCUUAAAAAAUAGCCAUCCCCCCAAACCUUCUGCCUUCACUCCAAUUCCGGUCACUCUCCAUUUUUUUUAUGGACUUCAUCUUCUUUUACUGUCACUGCUUGGCCUAUUUUUUAUACUUACUUACUAAUUAGCUUUCUUUCCCACUGGUUCAUAAGUUCCAUGAGGGUAGGGACUUUGCUUUGUUUUAUCCUUACUUCCUGUGGCAGCUCUUGGUGCAUAGAAAAUAUACUAGCAAGGUGUGUAGAAGAAUAAAUUAACAUGCCUUUGACAACCUCAGGUUUCUUAUCUGGAAUACUUCCCUUAUGGAAGAUUACAAAUAAUUGUUAUAAAAUUACCUGGCAUACAGUAGAUACACUCAGUAGGUGAUAACUGUAAUUAUGCAGAUCAGCACUGCCAAAUGAAAUAUAAUGCAAGUCACAUAUGUAAUUUUAAAAAGCUAGAAACAGAUUAAAUUAAUUUUAAUAAUACAUUUUAUUUAACCCAAAUGUUGAAAUUAUUACCAUUUUAAUAUAUAAUCAUUAUGAAAACUUACUAAUGAAAGAUUUUACAUUCUUUUUUCAUAUUAAGUCUUUGAAAUUCAGUGCAGUUUACUUACAGCAAGAUUCAGUUCUUUUUUUUUUCUUUUUUGUCUUUUGAGACGGAGUCUUGCUCUGUGCCCAGGCUGGAGUGCAGUGGCACGAUCUCGGCUCACUGCAAGCUCCACCUCCUGGGUUCACGCCAUUUUCCUGCCUCAGCCUCCCGAGUAGCUGGGACUACAGGCGCCCGCCACCACGCCCGGCUUUUUUGUUGUUGUUGUUGUUGUAUUUUUAAUAGAGAUGGGGUUUCACCAUGUUAGCCAGGAUGGUCUCGAUCUCCUGACCUCGUGAUCUGCCUGCCUCGGCCUCCCAAAGUGCUGGGAUUACAGGCGUGAGCCACCGCGCCCAGCAACUUACAGCACGAUUCAGUUCUAACUGGCCACCUUUUGAGUGCUUGAGUGUGGCUAGAGGCUACUGUAUGCAGUCAGUCAACUGUUUAAUGACAAGUUUUUGUCAGAUUCAUCUUUGUAACCCCCAUAUUGCCUUACACAUUUCCCUCAAAACAGUAGUUGAUCAAAAAUGUAUCAAAGAAUAUCAUAACAAUAUAUUGUUAUAUACUAUUUUUCAUGGCAAAUUCAGACUUUCAACUUAUUGGAGGGUGAAAUAAGUCUUGGUGAAGUAACUUGAGAUUAUAAUCAUUUUAAGUGUAUUAUAACAGUGCUUUGCCCAUAAGAGAGGUGUGCAAUGAAUAGUUGUGGUUCUCGUGUGUUGCUGAGUUGAGUACUUUUCUACAUUGUAAAUAAUAGAUUUACCAUUGAACUUUAGGAAAUACAUAAGUUGAAGGUUUUCUGUAUCAUAUUCUCUAGAAUAACUUUCUCCUCCCUGUAAAACUGCCAAACCUGCACUUCUAUAAGAGUCAUCCAGGAUCAAAAGUUUCUCCAGAAAUAUAUACCAUGGAGAGUGCCUACUCCCACUACAGAUUUCAUUUUCAGGUACAAUUCCUGAACUGCUUCUUGGUACACAUGGGCCAGAUAUAAUAGUAAGUCUAUUCUGUCCUAUGCCUUGAGUUUUCACUAAAAUGCUUUAAUAAGGCAUUAGCCUUAGGCCUAGCAAAUUCUUUUAGUUGCAAAAGUCAUUCCCCUCCAUUUCAGAGAUUUAAACCUGAUGCAAUAAGAGGAGGAAGAUGAACAAAAGAGCAGGGUCAUUUUCUGGAAGAAAUGGGUAAAGACUGUUUGUUGAGAGAUGUACCUCUAAAGCCUUGAUAUGCUUUUAUGGUAGAGAAGUAUUACAUAAACAUACUAUCCUUACUGUGACUAAAAAUGACCCAUAGGCCAGGCACGGUGGCUCACACCUGUAAUCCCAGCACUUUUGGGAGGCCAAGGCAGGAGGAUCACCUGAGGUCAGGAGUUCGAGACCAGCCUGGCCCAUAUGAUGAAACCCUGUCUCUACUGAAAGUACAAAAAUUAGCUGGUCGUGGUGUCAAGCGCCUGUAAUCUCAGCUACUCAGGAGGCUGAGGCAGGAGAAUUGCUUGAACCCAGGAGGAGGAGGUUGCAGUGAGCUGAGAUCAUGCCCUUGCACUGCAGCCUGGGUGACAAGAGCGAAACUCCAUCUCAAGAAAAAAAAUAAAAAUAAAAGUGAACCAUAGAUUUUCAGUGAAGUACAGAGAGUAGGCUGGGCACAGUGGCUCACACCUGUAAUUCCAGCAGUUUGGAAUCAAGGCAAGAGGAUUGCUUGAAGCCAGGAAUUCAAGACCAGCCUGGUCAACAUAGCAAGACCCCAUCUCUAAAAAUAAAAUAAAUUAGCUGGAUGUGGUUGUGUGCGCCAGUAGUUCCAGCUAGUCAGGAGGCUAAGGCAAGAAGAGCACUUGAGCCCAGGAGUUUGAGGCUUCAGUGAGCUAUGAUCAUGCCACUGCACUCUUGCCUGGGCAUCAGAGUGAGAUCCCACCUCAAAAAAAAAAAAAAAAGAAGAAAGAAGGAGAAGAAAAGAAGGAGGAAGAGAAGAGGAAGAAGAAGAGGAGGAGAAGAGGA